AGGAUAUUCUAAAUAGAGACAACAUCUUUAAAAGGCAUGGACAGGGUCUGCACCUGGAGACUCCCACCUAAGAUGGGGGUUUAGAUGAGACCACUCUGGGAGGACACGCAGCCGAGUGUGGAGGCCCCGAGGAAGAUCAGCUCUGAAGACACAGGCAGGCAAAGGGCAGACCUCGAAGGAGAUGGAGGAGGAAUGACAGAGGGCAAGAAGAAUCAGCAGGAGCUUGAAUUUAACAAUGAAUCCAGAAAAAAAGAGAAGUCAUAAUAAAUCACAAACAAUAAAAAAACAACGGUUUACUGUCUGCCAGGCUGCCAAACCCCAACCCUCGCCACAUCCGCAGCCACCACGUAAAGUGACUGUUAGAACUUCAAACGAAGGAUCUGACCCCCGGAAAUGGCCUCAUGCUAGUUUUUUCCUAAACAGUCACCAGGAAAAUGACGGAAGGCAAAUCGAAACGCAUGCCCUGAAAGACUUAGAACAUAACCAUCACAUCUGGGGGACAAGAAGCCCACCCCAACUUAAUUUAAAAAGGAAACACAGCAGAUGUCAUCAGUUGGCAGGGAGGUGUCUUGAAGGAAAGAAGGAGGGGAAUGAGAGGGCUGUGAGGAAAGGCCAUAUGAGAACGGUAAUCUACCCAUGUCCACCCACAAAACAGAACGGACCUGUAAAACACUGCACUCCUACCUCAGCCUGGACUCAACAGCCCAGCCCGGCUCCUCCUCAUCCCUGCAUUCUUGGAACUGUGCUCAUGGUCCGAGCCGGCCUGCCGGCGAUCAGUCUUCCCCCUGACAAGCCUCACUGGAAAACUGUUUCUUUUUUUCCCCUUGAAAGGGUCUGUGUCAACUGCCUCUACAAAUGCCAGACUGUCGAUUCAUCAUCAUUACAGAGAAUGGAAGAUAAUCACUUCAAUGACAUCUUCAUCCU
rnacentral:lncRNA from 1 species